CCCUUAGAGUUUGAUCCUGGCUCAGGAUGAACGCUAGCUACAGGCUUAACACAUGCAAGUCGAGGGGAAACGACAUCGAAAGCUUGCUUUUGAUGGGCGUCGACCGGCGCACGGGUGAGUAACGCGUAUCCAACCUGCCCACCACUUGGGGAUAACCUUGCGAAAGUAAGACUAAUACCCAAUGACGUCUCUAGAAGACAUCUGAAAGGGAUUAAAGAUUUAUCGGUGAUGGAUGGGGAUGCGUCUGAUUAGCUUGUUGGCGGGGUAACGGCCCACCAAGGCGACGAUCAGUAGGGGUUCUGAGAGGAAGGUCCCCCACAUUGGAACUGAGACACGGUCCAAACUCCUACGGGAGGCAGCAGUGAGGAAUAUUGGUCAAUGGGCGAGAGCCUGAACCAGCCAAGUAGCGUGCAGGAUGACGGCCCUAUGGGUUGUAAACUGCUUUUAUAAGGGAAUAAAGUGAGUCUCGUGAGACUUUUUGCAUGUACCUUAUGAAUAAGGACCGGCUAAUUCCGUGCCAGCAGCCGCGGUAAUACGGAAGGUCCGGGCGUUAUCCGGAUUUAUUGGGUUUAAAGGGAGCGUAGGCCGGAGAUUAAGCGUGUUGUGAAAUGUAGACGCUCAACGUCUGCACUGCAGCGCGAACUGGUUUCCUUGAGUACGCACAAAGUGGGCGGAAUUCGUGGUGUAGCGGUGAAAUGCUUAGAUAUCACGAAGAACUCCGAUUGCGAAGGCAGCUCACUGGAGCGCAACUGACGCUGAAGCUCGAAAGUGCGGGUAUCGAACAGGAUUAGAUACCCUGGUAGUCCGCACGGUAAACGAUGGAUGCCCGCUGUUGGUCUGAAUAGGUCAGCGGCCAAGCGAAAGCAUUAAGCAUCCCACCUGGGGAGUACGCCGGCAAC
rnacentral:rRNA from 1 species